rnacentral:rRNA from 1 species
UACAGAGGGUGCAAGCGUUAAUCGGAAUUACUGGGCGUAAAGCGCACGUAGGCCGUUUUUUAAGUCAGAUGUGAAAGCCCCGGGCUCAACCUGGGAAUUGCAUUUGAAACUGGAAAACUAGAGUGUGUGAGAGGGGGGUAGAAUUCCAAGUGUAGCGGUGAAAUGCGUAGAGAUUUGGAGGAAUACCAGUGGCGAAGGCGGCCCCCUGGCACAACACUGACGCUCAGGUGCGAAAGCGUGGGGAGCAAACAGG